rnacentral:rRNA from 1 species
GACAGAGGAUGCAAGCGUUAUCCGGAAUGAUUGGGCGUAAAGCGUCUGUAGGUGGCUUUUUAAGUCCGCCGUCAAAUCCCAGGGCUCAACCCUGGACAGGCGGUGGAAACUACCAAGCUGGAGUACGGUAGGGGCAGAGGGAAUUUCCGGUGGAGCGGUGAAAUGCGUAGAGAUCGGGAAGAACACCCGUGGCGAAGGCGGCCGGCUGGGCCGACCCUGACACUGACG